rnacentral:rRNA from 1 species
GACGAACGCUGGCGGCGUGCCUAAUACAUGCAAGUUGAGCGCUGAAGGUUGGUACUUGUACCCACUGGAUGAGCAGCGAACGGGUGAGUAACGCGUGGGGAAUCUGCCUUUGAGCGGGGGACAACAUUUGGAAACGAAUGCUAAUACCGCAUAAAAACUUUAAACACAAGUUUUAAGUUUGAAAGAUGCAAUUGCAUCACUCAAAGAUGAUCCCGCGUUGUAUUAGCUAGUUGGUGAGGUAAAGGCUCACCAAGGCGAUGAUACAUAGCCGACCUGAGAGGGUGAUCGGCAACAUUGGGACUGGGACACGGCCCAAACUCCUACGGGAGGCAGCAGUAGGGAAUCUUCGGCAAUGGACGAAAGUCUGACCGAGCAACGCCGCGUGAGUGAAGAAGGUUUUCGGAUCGUAAAACUCUGUUGGUAGAGAAGAACGUUGGUGAGAGUGGAAAGCUCAUCAAGUGACGGUAACUACCCAGAAAGGGACGGCUAACUACGUG